UACGUAGGGUGCGAGCGUUGUCCGGAAUUAUUGGGCGUAAAGAGCUUGUAGGUGGUUUGUCGCGUCUGCUGUGAAAAUCCGAGGCUCAACCUCGGACUUGCAGUGGGUACGGGCAGACUAGAGUGUGGUAGGGGAGACUGGAAUUCCUGGUGUAGCGGUGGAAUGCGCAGAUAUCAGGAGGAACACCGAUGGCGAAGGCAGGUCUGCU
rnacentral:rRNA from 1 species